CAAAAAUGAUAAAAAUGGAAAACCAAUUGCAGAUUAUCUCAAAAUAUUACUCUCUACAUAAUACUGAAAGUUAACAACCCAUUUAAACCAUUAUCAGCUCAGAGGCAGCAGGAAAUACCUUAUACAUUUAGAUUUAGCUGACUAUGGUCAAGUGGUCUGAGUAAUACUAGACUGUUUCCCCACGGAGACUGAGCAAAUAAGUUGGCCUAAUAAUUAUACGCAAUUCUGAAGUCCUUUACCAACUGGUUAAUAUUUUAAAUGCAAAUUUAUAAUAUAUUGGAGGGGAUUGGAAAUGUGCUUUGUAUGUCGCCAGUCUGAUGGAUGAGCAUAGGUUUACAAAUGUUAGGAGAUUGUUACCUACUUAAAUGCAAAACGCUGACUAUAAUGUGAGAUGAAGGAGGGAUAAUAUCCUGGGGCUUUUUUUCUUACUUUGGUUAAGGUAGUUGGAUUAAAGCAAACUUUAGCUCUACACUCAUUAAGACUUCUUUGUGGCAACAAUGUGGUGAAUAUUGUGUCCUCUUUCAGCACGAUAAUACAUUUGUGCUCAAAGCAAUGUACAUUCAGAACUGUUCUGCAAAGACAGGAGUUGAUGAACGGGCAUUCACAGAGCCCUUACCUAAUUGAACCCCCUUACCUAAUUGAACCCCCAUUACAUAAAUUCAAAUGCUGACUGCAAUCCAACCUCACUAAUGGUUUUAUAAAUAAAAUCAACAAUAUUCCAGCAUCUACUUGAAAGCCUUCCCAAAGGGUUUCAGUUGUUACGGAAUCAACAAAUGGGUCACCUUCAUAUGGGCCAGCCUUGUUUUUGAAACUAGAUGUAAGGCAGGUAGGUGCCCUGAUACUUCUUAAUAUAGUGUAUAUUAUUGUCUGAUUGUCCUGCCUACAAGAGAAAAUGUGUCUUACAGCUGAUGAAUUUAUAUUUGAAAAUGAAGGCAAAAAUCAUGAAAAUCUGUGGAGGCUCCAUAGUUAACAAAUAUGCUAAGCUGGAGCUAAGAUUGUAAUUGACAACUGUAAAAUUGGCCAUUAAAAAAAUAGAGAGGAAAGGAUUAUCCUUUGAAAACAAUAAUAACCAACAAGAAGACUUUUGACGCAAAAAUCUUUCCACAGCUAAAUCUCUUGGACAAAAUGCAAAGACUUUUAUUGAAAUAGUGUUUAUUGUUGUUCCAUCAUACAGUAUCUUAAAAAUCUUACACUUGGUAUAAAGAUAUUCCCAUCUGUUUUUUCCCAAAGUCACUGAGGAUCCACCAGCUGGAGAUCUGGUUUGAGGGACCAAUGGAAGUAAUUUCUUUUGUUUGCUUACUCUUCAGUGUAUGCUUGAACAUGAUGCUGAUGAUAGAGUAAAGCCUUCUAAAGAGAAACUGUAAUUAUUGUUACAAUAAAGCUAAGAAGAAGCACCCCCAGAACAGUUGACAAUCCAAUAGUUGCAUGUAGAAGAGAAGCCGGGAAACCAUCUGAGAUGGAAUCUGCAUAAAAAUAAACUGACAAGUAAAGACACCAACUUCACUUUUUCUUUUUAAUGCCUUAUUUGUGAGACAAAACAUACUUAUAUAAAGAAAGACAAUAAAAAAUUCCUCUAUUUACGCUGUCAUUUAAUUAAAUAUAGAGGAUGUAAGGUCCUUAAAGUGGACCUGUCACCCAGACACAAAAUCGGUAUAAUAAAAGUCCUUUUCAAACUUAA